rnacentral:rRNA from 1 species
UGAGGAAUUUUCCCCAAUGGGCGCAAGCCUGAGGGAGCAACGCCGCGUGCAGGACGACGGCCUUCGGGUUGUAAACUGCUUUUGCGUGGGACGAUAACGACGGUACCACGCGAAUCAGCCCCGGCUAACUCUGUGCCAGCAGCCGCGGUAAUACAGAGGGUGCAAACGUUGUUCGGAAUUACUGGGCGUAAAGAGCGUGUAGGCGGCACGUUAAGUCGUCUGUGAAAGCCCAUGGCUCAACCAUGGAAGUGCAGUCGAUACUGGCAUGCUAGAGUCCCGGAGAGGGUGGUGGAAUUCCCAGUGUAGAGGUGAAAUUCGUAGAUAUUGGGAGGAACACCAGUGGCGAAGGCGACCACCUGGACGGGUACUGACGCUGAGACGCGAAAGCGUGGGGAGCAAACAGGAUUAGAUACCCCCGUAGUCC